GGACCAGUAGCACAAUGGAUAACAAAUCUAACUACACAUCAGAAGAUUCUAGGUUUGACUCUUGGCUGGUUCA